UGAGAGUUGAACACUGGAGGACUGACAGCUGUCCUUCAUCACAACAGGAGCCACAGAAAUCCUCCUCCUCCUCGUCCAAAAACAUGACUUUGAUCUGCGUCCUCAUCUGGACUCUCCUCCUCUGCUGCUGCUUCACAGAGUCCAGAGGACAGGUCACAGUGACUCAGCCUGCAGCAGUGAGAUCUGCUCUGGGAGCCUCUGUCACCGUCUCAUGUAGGACCAGUCAGAAUGUAGAUACUACGAACAGCAAACCCGACUUAGCCUGGUACCAACAGAAAGAUGGAGGAACUCCUAAACUGCUGAUUUACUCUGGUAGCACUCGAGAAACGGGGACUUCAAGUCGUUUUACAGGCAGUGGAUCACGGUCUGACUUCACUCUGACCAUCAGUGGAGUCCAGACUGAAGACGCAGCAGUUUACUACUGUCAGAGUUUACAUGAUAUCAACAGUCAGUGGGUGUUCACACAGUGAAAAAGCGUCGUACAAAAACCUCCCUCAGUCAGCCUGAACAGAAACCAGACUGACUGCUGCAGCAGGAAGCUUCUGCAGAGACUGACACACUUCACUGAGGACACACCGAACCACAGAUGUGCGCUCAGUUUAGUUUACUGUCCUGCAGACUCUUUUACCUAAAACAACUUUUCAACUUACACAAUAAGAGCCAAUGUUUAGGGAAGGGUAAAAGCAACACAUAGCAGUACUUGAAUAAGAGAGGAAGCAAACACUAUACAAGAGCCAGCCUGCACUUUAUGUGUUUUUAUUUGCCUCUAUAAGGUGUUCACAAAUGUCCAACUGAACCUGGGCCUUACAGCCCCGUUUCCACCAAGCGGUCUGGUUUGGUUCAGUACAGUCUGAUACAGUAAACCCUGAUCUUGCUUGCGUUUCAACAGCCAACCGUACAUCAUAAAACAACAGCGGCACGACAGACAGCCAAGACAUUCAACAAAGAAGAAGAAGAAUGUGACACAGUAAACAAAAAUGAAUGAUUGCA